rnacentral:rRNA from 1 species
GACGAACGCUGGCGGCGUGCUUAACACAUGCAAGUCGAACGGAAAGGACCUGCAAUUGUGGGGUGCUCGAGUGGCGAACGGGUGAGUAACAAGAGAGUAACCUGCCCAUGACUUCGGGAUAACGACAGGAAACUGGGGAUAAUACCGGAUAGGAGCUCCAGCGGCGAGGUGGGGGUUGGAAAGGUUCGGCGGUUGGGGAUGGGCUCGCGGCUUAUGAGCUUGUUGGUGGGGUAGUGGCUUACCAAGGCUUUGACGGGUAGCCGGCCGGAGAGGGUGACGGGCCGCAUUGGGGCUAAGGUACGGCCCAGCCGCCUACUGCGGGCAGCAGUGGCGAAUAUUGCACAGUAGGCGGAAGCCUGAUGCAGCAGCGCCGCGUGCUGGAUGACGGCCUUCGGGUUGUAAUCCGCUUUCGCCUGUGACGAAGCGUGAGUGACGGUAAUUGGUAAAUAAGCACCGGCUAACUACGUG